UUAUAGAUCCUGCUCAAUGCCAGCAGGUUACCAUGCCAGACAGCAUGGAUGCAGUCAACAAGGUUGCUCGACUACUCUAUACAAAUUCCGGUUUUGGUGUUUUGGCACUUGGGUCUAAUGGGAUUCAGAAGUUAUGGAAGUGGACACGCAGUGAACAAAAUCCAGGUGGAAAGGCCACUGCCAAUGUUGUUCCACAGCAAUGGCAGUGGCAGCCAAUGUUGU